CACCUUGAGAUAUUUAUCUCCUUAGGUCGAGCCUCUCUGCAGCCUCGAAGUUUUGCUUUGCAGAUCUAUCGUUCUUGUGCGAUAGUUCUGUUUCUCUGCUUGUCUAAUCAUAUAGAUCGCUUCUCGAUCUACAAUUUGAUAUCGGUUUUGGUGAAUUCGAGGUCAUCGAGAUUAUCUUCUGUACAUACUGGGAUUGCGAUCUGAGAUAUUUGUCCUUAGAGAUGGCGUAUUCUCUAUCAGAUCUUUGUUCUGACUUGGAGUCGUUUCCCGAUUGGCGCGGGGAUAUUACUCGGGGUGUGAUAGCGGAUGAUACAGCUGCUGAGCAUCUGAGGGGACGGAGUCUUCAACAUAUUGAUGGAUUUAUGUAAUCUGGGGAUGCGAAUCGAAUCAAAGGAAAGGUGCCUCUUGAUUGUUAGAAAAAAGAUGUAUAAGACAUCGGGACCAAGGCCUAACUUAUUUGGUCUGUGUUUCGGUUGUUCUUUGUCAUCAGGCCUUUGCCAUGGCAGGUGCGCUUGCAUGGCAGGUCACAAACAAUAAUAAAAAAAUAUAUUUUUUGUUUGAGGGGGGUUCGCACGGGGAUUUGCCCGGGUUCUCCCCUCCGGUGUGCCGUGUCCUGCUUUCUCUCUCUCUCUGUUUAUUCUUCUUGAUCCCUCCUACACACGGAAAUCUGAGCAGCAGCAACGGCAGAUCCUGUGAGAUCUAGGCGCUAAAGGUACAUAUUACCAAGCAUACAAAGUUGAGUUUUAUUAUAAAUUAGCCUUGUGCAAUCCCAUUCCUUUUUAGUUAUGGGAUGCAGCACAAAAAGGCGCCUUAAUUCAGCCUUUCUUUUUAAAUACCAAUUAACUACAUAUAUAUCCUGUGAUCGUUUCAUCAUCCCUAAUGCCUUUAUUCCUGAAAUUAUAAAUUGAGUCAGAAAAAGGGCAUUGAUUUUGCCGGCCCCGACUCCUGCAUGGUUUUCGAUAUUUAAAAAUAUUGUUUUUAAAGAUGAAAGUAACUUAAAUUAUUAAGCAUGGUAUUUGGUAUUUGACAGUUCGCUUUGAGGAAUUUUGCCAACAUCCGUCACAAUUUUUCGAGGUAAAGAACCCAAAAAAUGGUGUUCAAGAAUUUUGGAUGGUUCUGUGCGUUUUGCCAUUUCAACAUGCAAUAUGUUGCUCAUCAUCGUAGUUCAAUUUCUUUAUGCUAGUGUUCACAAAAAAUCUAUCCAAAAAAUUAGAUGCAUAGGCUUUAAUAGUUCUACCACUAAUGCAUGCAAUAAUCAAGUACUUAAUUUCUCAAUAGACGAGUUGGUAAACGUUGGUGUCCUCUUAUCUGGUUCAUUGGCUUUUUAUAAUUUUGCUAAUAUUACAAUUUGCGCUAAGAACUACAGUAUGCGUAGGUUGUAUUAUGUGUUCCAGAAUUGUGUAGUAGUUUGUAAUCUCCCCUUGUAAUAAGUUUUUGUCAGCGGUUUCCUUGGGAGAAAUACUUGCAUUCUUGUAAUUCAGCAAGUCAAUGUAAAAGUAUAUCGUAGCGGAUAAUUAUGUGAAGCGCCGAAUCAUUUGGCUUGUAAUCCUUCCGUGGAGUUCCGGUUUGUAUUUGCUUCUGGAUGAGAACAGUUAUCAAGGAUGGGAUGCUUUGGAGGCAGCUGACUUUCGAAUGGGUGCCACGAGGCGACAGGUUCGUGAUCAGCCCUGCAUCUGGAGGCGAUUUUUUACUACCAUGUUGACUUUUCUGAAGGGCGUUACCAGCAGCAGGAUUUUUGUUGAAUAUCACAGGUGAAAAUACUUAAGAUUUUGAGAAUUUUAUGUCCAUUUGCUGAUGUGUUGGCAAGUCUUGAUUUAUUUACGUUGUUUGCUUGCCUGAAAUUAUUGCUGUUGCACGAGUGAAUUGUGGAUUUAUACUACCGUGUUGGCUUCAUUAUUAUUUUGUUUCUGUGGAA